rnacentral:rRNA from 1 species
AUUGAACGCUAGCGGGAUGCCUUACACAUGCAAGUCGAACGGAGUGGCGAACGGGUGGGUAAUGUAUCGGAACGUGCCCAGUAGCUGGAGAUAACUACCCGCAAGCGUAGCUAAUACCUCAUACUAUUGCUGCGGUCUGUCUCGGAUUAGCUAGUUGGGGGGGUAACGGAUCACCCAGGCGACGAUCCGUAGCUGGUUUGAGAGGACGACCAGCCACACUGUGACUGAGACACGGCCCAGACUCCUACGGGAGGCAGCAGUGGGGAAUUUUGGACAAUGGGGGAAAGCCUGAUGCAGCCAUCCCGCGUGUGUGAUGAAGGCCUUCGGGUUGUAAAGCACUUUUGGCAGGAAAGCGGUACCUGCAGAAGAAGCACCGGCUAACUACGUGCCAGCAGCCGCGGUAAUAC